rnacentral:lncRNA from 1 species
GGUCUUGCUGUGUCACCCAGGCUGGAGUGCAGUGGCAUGAUCUUAGCUCACUGCAACCUCUACCUCCCAAGUUCAAGCGAUUCUCUUGCCUCAGCCUCCUUAGUAGCUGGGAUUACAGUCGCCUGCCACCACGCCCGGCUAAUUUUUGUAUUUAUAGAAGAGACAGGGUUGCGCCAUGAUGGUCAGGCUGGUCUCAAACUCCUGACCUCAAUCAAGUGAGCCUCCUGCCUCAGCCUCCCAAAGUGCUGAGAUUAUAGGUGUGAGCCACCAUGCCCGGCCUUCUAUAAAGUAUUCUUGAAAUAGCUGCCUCACAGGCAGAUGUGGAAAAGCACCUGUAGUUUACAACUAAUUCAGUUAUUAUUUUUUCUUCCUCUGCUGUGCUGCUAUUGUGUGUUAGACACACUCUAAUUUAGUACUUAUGCUUUCUGCUUAUGUAUCUCCCCCAGGCUAGUAGCCCCUGGAACACAAGGUAAGGCCCCAUCAGAUUCAGUUCUUCCCUCAACACCUACCCUACUGCUUGGCCCAUGAGAGAUGCUUCAAAAAAAAAAAUGUGCAAAAGAUUAUGUCUUGGGGAAAAGCCAGGUCACAGGCACAAUAAGUGUGAGGAUUGUGCCAUUUCCCCGACUCUCCCCAGCUCUGUGCUCAUGCUCUUUCUUUAGCCUGGACCACUUGCUACUCCGUCCUGAUCCACACCCCACCUUUACUUGCCCAACCCCAACUCUGGUUGUAGAGAAUCUAGUCGUCCUUGAAGAAUCUUCCUAAAGAUCUGAAUGCCAAAUUAAUUAAUCAGUUGUGGAGUCAAAGCCUGCCUCUACCACUGCCUACUAGGACCUUGAGUAAAUUUUUGUAAUCCUGCUGAUCUUAAUUUUGCUGAUCUGCAAAUUGGGCAGAAAAAUACCUAUCUUUCAGUUUUGAUAUGAGAUUUACAUAAGCAAAUGCAUGUGGAAUGCCAAACACAUAGCAGAUGCUGAAUAAAUGCCUUCAAAUGGCCAUUUCUAACGGCUCUGGGAAAUUCUCCAUUCUGCAACAAUAUGCAGUCUUCUCGAGACCUCCGCUACGUUCUCUUUUUUUCUCAUCGUUUAUUUAGCAAACAUUAAUAGAGCAUGUUUUAUUUGCCAGACACUUUGCUAGAUGAUAGAGAUACAAAGAUUAGAAGCCAGGCAUGGGUGUCUCACGCCUAUAACUCCAGCACCUUGGGAGGCUGAGGCAGGAGGAUUGCUUAAGGUAAGGAGUUCAAAAAAUAAAAUAAAAUAAAACAUAAAAAAAAAUUAGCCAGGCAUGGUGGCAUGCACCUGUACUCUCAGCUACUUGGGAGUCUUAGCUGGGAGAUCACUUGAGGCCAGGAGUUUGACGCUACAGUGAAUUAUGACCGUGACACUGCCCUCCAGCCUGGGUGACAGAAAAAAAAAAAAAAAGAUUAGAGAAGGCCUCUGACCUCACAGUCUAGUGGGGAACCAGCUUCUUCGGGGAUUUUUCCCUGCCUCACCUCGCCCACCUCAGGCUGUGUAGAAACCCCCAGUCUAACCAGUUGUUUCCCUCCAACUCUGUACAUACCACGGUGUGUUGCCUUUUUAUUUCAAACAUGUGCUGGCCUCUGUUCUAAUCACAGCAACCUGUAUCCAUUAAUCCAUUUAAUCCUCACAACAACCUUAUCAGGUAAGUAUUGUCAUUAUUUGCAUUUUCCAAAUAAGGAAACUGAGGCACAGACAGAUUAAGUAACUGGCUUAAUAAGGUCUUCUAGUUUAUACGUAGAGGCAGCCAGGACUUGAAAACACACCUUCUGGCUCCAGCUAAAUUAACAUGCUCUGUUUACUUAUCUGUCCCCACUGAAAUUGGAGGUUGAACCCGUGGCAUAUUCAAACGAAUAAGUAUCGCCUGUGCCCACCCCAAUAUCUGACACUAUAGGUCAACGAUAACUCAUUCGUCAAACAGGAAGGAGGAAGGAAGGAAGGAAGGAAGGAAGGAAGGAAGGCAGGCAGGCAGGCAGGCGGGCAGGCAGAGGUAAAACGAUUCCACAAUGGUGUGGUUGCUCACAUUUACUAAGCAUCAACACUGACCUGCCUGUAAGAUGCGCUAACAGAGCUCACGAAUAAAUGAAGGCUGGGUGUGGUAGCUCACGCCUAUAAUCCCAGCACUUGAGAGGCCAAGGUGGGAGGACGGCUUGAGCCCCAGAGUUCAGGACCAGCCGGGGCAAUAUACUGAGACCCUGUCUCUACUAAAAUUAAAAUUAAAAAUUAG